GAAAAUUUUGCUGUGCUGAGUUCAAUGGUGAUUUCGGAUCACCAAUGCGACUGUCGAAAUCUGAUCGAAAAGCUCUAAAUCUACCGAUUUUCUCUCUCCUUGGUUCUUUCUCCUCCGACCACCAUUUCAGGCGAGGUUGGUCAGAAAAGAAAGCUAGUGGUGAGGGAAAGCCGUUGCCACUGGAAUCACGUCCAUCUAAUGCCGAAUGGCAUCGGAAUGAGCACCUGAAGUUGGCUGUUAUGCGCACGUCUCUCUCUCUUUCUUUCUCUCCUUUCAAUUUUCUUUUUGCUGCUGCUGCAUCGUUGAUCGCCUUCCACAGCUGCUGGAAGGUUGCCAAUUGCCAUGUGUAUGGUCUAGGUGGCUUGCCGACAGUGAUGAUAGUCGGCCAGAGCAAAAACGGUGAGGGGGGA
rnacentral:misc_RNA from 1 species